ACACCAUGCUAGGGGUGCCUGCACAACAAGGCUGAGAACAAACUCUUAACACCUGAGUCUGGGUAAUACCAGCGGAGGGAAGCUGUAUAUUGAGGAU
rnacentral:ncRNA from 1 species